rnacentral:snRNA from 1 species
UAAUUAAAUUAAAGUUUCAC